UAUGGUUACAUGAAAUUCUCAUGACAUCACAGAACCGUGGUUCACCCGUGCUGUUCAUUCCGUAGUUCAUAAUUUCACAAACACAAGGACUGAGAGUAUCUCAAUGUUUCAAAGAAACCAGAAAGCAGCAAAUCAAGGUAAAUGAAGAGAUCAAGUUCCUGAAACUGACGAUAAGACAACAGAGUCUAGAAUAAAAGGAAGAGUUCCAGAAACUGGCCAUAAGACAACAGAGGCUAGAACAAACGGAUGUUGAUGAACUCAUACACAGGGCACUCAGCUGUUACCGAGCUGAUGGUAUUGGAAUGACAGACUACGCGCUGGAGUCUUUAGGCACCCCUGUGAUAGCCAGUACAGAGACCAAUAAAACUAAAUACUGCAAAGUGUUUGGCAUUAGUGUAGGGUGCAACAUUAAUGGCCCUGUGUCGUGAUAGACCGACAGCCGGCGCACAAGGAACUAAAAUCGCUCCUUCCCUGACUGCCACGCUGGCGCUGAAGAGACGGCCCCUCGUCAAGAA